AACGAACGCUGGCGGCAUGCCUAAUACAUGCAAGUCGAACGAAACCACCGGGACUUGUGGCCCCCGGGUGCGUAACGCGUGGGAACCUUCCCUCAUGUUUGGCCUACCUCCCCGACAGGGGUGCUAUUGCCGGACAAUGUCUUCUGACCAAAGAUAUAUUGCAUUAGGAUGGGCACGCGUUGGAUUAGCUAGUGGGUAGGGUAAAAGCCUACCAAGGCGACGAUCCAUAGCUGGUCUGAGAGGAUGAUCAGCCACACUGGGACUGAGACACGGCCCAGACUCCUACGGGAGGCAGCAGUGGGGAAUAGUGGACAAUGGGGGAAAGGAUGAUGCAGCAAUGCCGCGUGAGUGAUGAAGGCCUUAGGGUAGUAAAGCUCUUUUACCCGGGAUGAUAAUGACAGUACCGGGAGAAUAAGCUCCGGCUAACUCCGUG
rnacentral:rRNA from 1 species